rnacentral:rRNA from 1 species
CCCUAGUAUAAAUAAAGGAAAUGAAAUUAUUAUAAAAUGAAAUUUAAAAAUUUUGGCGGUUUAUUAUAAAUUAGAGGAGCUUGUUGAUUAUAGAAUUUACUCUUUGAAUUUUAUUAGUGUGGAGUUUAUUUAUUUCCGUUAUUAGAUGAAUAAUUGAAUGGUUAGAGUUAAUAGAGAUUUCAGGUCAAGAUGUAGCUUAUACUAGAAAAUUAAAUUAGCUACAAUUAUGGGAUUGUGGAUUAAGAAAAGAAAUUUUGAUUAUGAAAUUGAAUUUGAUUGUAAUAUUUCUUAGAAUAGAAAUAUGAAUAAUAGUAAUGAAUGUA